AUCCAGAUGACGAGUCUCAAAUAGGACGAAACGCGUGUUUUAGAU
rfam:Schistosoma mattheei strain Denwood, Zambia genome assembly, scaffold: SMTD_scaffold0003013